AGGCUUGUAGCUUAGGUGGUUACACCGCACCCCUGAUAAGGGUGAGGUCGGUGGUUCAAGUCCACUCAGGCCUACCA
rnacentral:tRNA from 1 species